rnacentral:tRNA from 1 species
GAGGGUAUAGCUCAGUGGUAGAACGCAUGCUUGUCAUAUGUGAGGUCCUGGGUUCAAUCCCAGUGCCUUCG